GUAUCUUAGAAGCAGACUGGACUCUUGCUGCUUUAAGAACAUAGAUAAUUAGGAUUAUGUGAACAGAGUUGGUUGCUACUGGAAUAACAGUUAACCGUUUUCAAAAAUGCUUCCUGGAUACAAUUUGUUUCGUACAUUUGGCUUGUAGGAUCUCGUUUUAGUAGUCCAACAGGAUUUCUUAAUUUCUUGUUUUAGGAUCAAGCAUGACUUUACAUUUGAAGUUGGGGGGUGGGGUGGUCAGGGGCAGACUCUACCUCUGUUUGCUCGGCCUGAAAUCUGGCUCCUUUUAUAUUUUCUAGACGGGAUGAAUGGAUCACGAUGAUCAACAAAACCACUUGCUACUUUUGUUCUCGUUGCCCCAGCAAGGCUGCUCUGGUCUUUGAACUGGAAUGGAAGCCGGCUGUCACCUUGAGCCUCAACUCCCUUGUUUAUGCAGCUCUGUCAGAACUUUCCACCAGGACUCAGGUUUGUGAAACGGUGCCCAAUCUUCUGUUCCUCUAUGCUGGGACUUAGCGUUGUCCCUUGGGGGUCCUUCCGCUAAUAAGUUCUAUUGUCCCUUCACAAGGUAUUGGAGGGGAGUGGAUGACAGAGCCUCAGCUCAUUCCUUCAGUUAUGUCUUCUUCAUCUAAAUGCUUUAUGACCACCUUGCUUAGUUCUGCCUUGUCUGUGCAGAGUCGUGCCUGGUUGUCCAGAAAUAGCCAUUCCCUGAUGCCUGAUGCAGUUCCCCAGACAGGGUGGGAGGUUUCCUUCUCCACUGUUAUGUGAGAAAAGUAAUUUUUUUCCCCAGGAAAGAGGAAAAGUUGCUUGUUUUCUUCCCCACUUCUAGAUUCUCUUUCCUUUGGACUUUAACCAUGGAAGGAAGACUCUGCCGGGAGAACUGAGGGAAUGUGCUGUAGGUGUUAGGAGGGGGGCACCUUGGGCUGUUUCUUUCCCAACAGCCAGUACUGGGGUAGUUGGAGUCAGGGACAAACCACGGUCAGAAAUGCCCAAACAAAGUGGCAAAUUGAAGGUGCUGCCAGGAUGCUGAAUCGAGAUCCCUACUUAGGAGAUCGAGAGAUGGAGAUUUUAUUCUGAGGUCAAGUCAGGGUAGCGGUUAGAAAACGGAAGCAGAGGAAGCCCUCU
rnacentral:lncRNA from 1 species